rnacentral:rRNA from 1 species
UACGUAGGGUGCGAGCGUUAAUCGGAAUUACUGGGCGUAAAGCGUGCGCAGGCGGUUUUGUAAGCCAGAUGUGAAAUCCCCGGGCUUAACCUGGGAAUGGCAUUUGGGACUGCAAGGCUUGAGUGCGGCAGAGGAGAUUGGAAUUCCCGGUGUAGCAGUGAAAUGCGUAGAUAUCGGGAGGAAUACCGAUGGCGAAGGCAGGUCUCUGGGCUGACACUGACGCUCAUGCACGAAAGCGUGGGGAGCAAACAGG